CUUGCACGUGCUCGCGUCCUGACACGCGCUUUUGUUUGUGCAUUUGCAAGGCGAGUUUAUGAUACAGUUUGACUUAUGCAACGCAAACUCCGCAAGCAGUCGAUACUAUAGUCGAUCGCUUAAUCGUAAUUUAAUACACCGGCUACCAUGCUUGGUGAUAGAUAACGAUGCGCAACAUUUAAAUCGAUGAGCGUCAUCGUCCACGGAAUCGGACGCGGUUGACGUCAUGGUCUGCAUAAAACCAGCAGGUCCGAGCACGAGGUUAGCAGUGUUCCUGGAACGUUUGUAACAUUUACAGCUCCACCAGCAUGUCUGCUUCAAGGCUUUCCAGCCACUUCGUUGAAAGUCAAGUUACACAAAAUUCUCCAGACGUUCAGGCGCAUGCGUCAAGUCUUCCCUGUCCUCGGCUGCGGCAGCACAUGGACGAAGACCUGUGGCCACGCCCACUUUGACGCUGGCCACAACAGAAGAAGCAAAGAUGACCUGAGAGCACCACCAACAAAGCCCUUAGCCUACCUCUUCGACAACAACGCAUCUUCAUCAUCGUACGUCAACCAGGCCUGCAACGUUGACGCCAUGGAGCUCGUCGAAUGGAACUACGAGAUCUACCAGAACGCUCGCAACGAGCAGCUGGAGCGGGAGAGGAGGACUUUGGAAAGUGACGCCGUGUGAAAUAUAAGCGUCGAAAUGCUGACGUUUCUUGCUGACCCUGACGGGUCCGAUUUGAAUUGAUUGCGUCCAGCAUGGCAGGUGAUUGAGGUGGUGCACUUCGGCUGCGCUAAUGCUGGGAAAUGUUACUUACGUGUUACUGAAGGGUUCCUUGUAGACGGCUGAAAGUUGAUUAUUGACGUUGUCAUCAUGAAAUAAAUCUUAGUAUACUG